rnacentral:misc_RNA from 1 species
AAAGUCGUAACAAGGUAACCGUAGGUGAACCUGCGGUUGGAUCAUUACCAAUCUUAUUGGCAGUUUAGUGUUCACAACCUUCAUUGUGACGCGCUGCUGAUUCCACCCCAACCGUGAACUUGAAACCCGUAUCUUGGGUCGUCCCGCCUGCAAAGGUGUGCGGUGUUGCUUUGGCAUAAUUUUUUGUCAGUUAAGAGCAUCACUCUGGAUGGCCCAGCCUAUUUAAAACACCCUUGUAUUACAUAUCCAAAUCUUACAAUUCUUUUGAUCUCCUUGAGGUUGAGCGGUAUGCUCGACGGAAAGCUGAUUGAAAUCAAUAAUUAAAAACAACUUUUGACAACGGAUCUCUUGGCUCUC